rnacentral:rRNA from 1 species
UGGGGGAUAUUGCACAAUGGGCGAAAGCCUGAUGCAGCGACGCCGCGUGGGGGAUGAAGGCUUUCGGGUUGUAAACCUCUUUCGCUAUCGAACAAGGCCCGCUUAGGGUGGGUUGAGGGUAGGUGGAGAAGAAGCGCCGGCUAACUACGUGCCAGCAGCCGCGGUAAUACGUAGGGCGCGAGCGUUGUCCGGAAUUAUUGGGCGUAAAGGGCUUGUAGGCGGCUUGUUGCGCCUGCUGUGAAAACGCGGGGCUUAACUUCGCGCGUGCAGUGGGUACGGGCAGGCUUGAGUCUGGUAGGGGUGACUGGAAUUCCAGGUGUAGCGGUAGAAUGCGCAGAUAUCUGGAGGAACACCGAUGGCGAAGGCAGGUCACUGGGCCAUUACUGACGCUGAGGAGCGAAAGCAUGGGUAGCGAACAGG